UACGAAAACAUUUAACAUACAGUAUAUAUUUAAUGUGUUCUCGCUGGCUGCUGUGCUGCUCACAGCCUGCUUUCUAACUGUUGGCACCAGUAUUGGCCAGAAAUCCCCACGACAAGCGCGCAUUUGUGUCCAAUUUACUGUAGAAAUCCUCAUAUUGUCUAGUCGCCAAUAUCUGAAUGUGUUAUUAUAAAAACAUGCCUUAUCCAUAUUCAUGCGUGGUCGCCUACUUUGAAAGCACACAAAAUGGAGAACUAGAGCGAUCGGGGACAAACAACAUGGUUGUGGUGUUUGGACUUUUGAUUUGUACGCUACUCACUGAUGAUUAUUUGAGCCUCUAAGCUGCAGAUUUGGCCUUGUUUUUGCCAUGGGAAGUCGUGUUAACGGGGAGAGGGUAGCUUGGCUCGAGGACCUUGUGUGAGGCUCAGCUGGUUGGCAAAUAGAAUCAGGUAUAUGAAGUAUGCAAGACACUCUGGGCAUUGCUAAACGGUCAGAAUUAAAGUAUGUUGGCUGAACGAGAACAUUUUUCCAAUUCUAAGCAUCCAUCUUGUAUCCUGGUAGGAAGCCAGUCACCCAGUUUGCAUUAGAGAAUGGGGGAAAGAGACACUUUUGGUUUAAUUUGGGGGACUAGCUCUAAUCCAGACAAAAUCUCUCAAGGAUGAAGCCCCUUCCCUCCUCCCACUACAGUCGGAUUACGGGAGUGUCUUUAAAAGGAUAAGGGCCUGUUUAUUGCUGCUUCCCUCAACGCUUGUUUGGGAUUUAAUGAAGCGGGGGAAGGCUCUUCGGCGUCACCCAAUGUGGCCGGGGUGGAGAUGAGUCAGAGAUUAGGCAUCUGACAAACGAGAUCAAUGGUAAUCACAAUUUGCCGUUUUUAAACCACCCCACCCACUCCUCACACACCAACAGACACAAACGCAUAUGCUUCCACUCCCACCCAUCCAAGUGAAUUUCAUUUAUUGUUUUUCAACAGACUGGAAGAGGAUAAAAUGUGAUGUCCUGUUGAGCUUGGUGUGUGCCUUUAACUGGUUUAGUAACACCACAGUGGAGUCUGCUGGAAAAACUACAGGAUUGAUCAAAGCAUGCGACAAACUGAUCAGAGCUGCAUUGAAAAGAAAUUAACCAAUUUGCUCACGUUUAGCUUUGCUGUCAAAUAACUUUUUGUUGUCUUGAGAGAAAUUGACUAUAUUCUUGAAUGUAUGAUAUUACUUCUGUACAUGCACUGAAAUUGUCGGGGAGGUGGGGUGUGGGGGAUCAACUUUUUAUGGGUAGUUUCUGGGCAUUGGCAGCUCGUUAGAAUAGUGGUCAGCACGUCUAUGGUUAUUUUCAUACAUUUUCACUGUGACUCUGGAUUCCUCCUACAUCCCCAAAACACGUUUCUUUAGACAAUUGAAGUCAUGAAGUUGUUCAUAGGUGUGGCCUGUGAGUGACUGGCAACUAAUCCUUACCCAAAGUCAGGUAGGAUGGGGCCCAGCGCUUUAGAAAACCGAUGGAUGAAUAUCUACAAAUGCUCCCAAUAAGAUAUACAGUACUUAGUUGUUUUCUUAGUUAGGUUAGUGAGGCCAAUGCUCCACCUCCCAAAAGAGCGUUGAUUCAUUGUACAUCCCACCAAAGCAGCUGAAGCAAUUACAGUGCUCCAAAGACUAAUUUCAAAGUUCAUCUUAGUUGAACUUGAGUGCAGUGACCCCAGCAGUGAGCACAGCUUGAGCUCGUAUAGGCUUUAUGAGCACACAUUGAUUGACACACAUAUAAGGGCCUGAGUUUCUGGAGCUGUGUUACAUGGUUUCUGUUGUACUGUCCCUGUCCCUGUCAGUGAAUGACUUGCACAGGCAAGAACUUGCAGGAUGGAAAUUUGUUAAAUGUUCAAAGUGGAUGUGUUUAUUAACUGUACAGGUGCUGUUGGCAGUUACACCCUAACUGUCGUAAUUGUACAAUGUGUAAAAUUAAAAUGCCCCCAAUUAACUCCGUGCUCUGUUUUUAUGUAUCGGUGAGAAAUAAUGCUUUCCAUCAUUUUAAUAAGUGAAUAAAAAUGGCAAGUUUGGUACAGAUUUUCAGAUUUUUAUGCUUACAACAGUGAGUAGACACCGAUCUAGCACACAUAAGGUGAUGUGUUGCUUGAGAUACUUGUGUAAGUGUGAGGCUGUUGCCUAUUUUGUCGGAGGUGCAAUGGUGACAAGGUGACUGAAUUCCUUGCGCAUUCCGCCCGUAAAACCCUGAGCCCUCGGGAGGCACCUAGGAGUUAAAAUACCGUAUUUUCACGACUAUUCGACGCAUCGUACUAAUGGCCGCAGUCUCAUUAAUGGGUGACAUUUCUGUAUUUUACACAUACACAGGACGCACCGUACCAAUGGCCGCAGUUUUACAGUGGUAAAACAUACGCCAGCUUAAACAUACGGCAUGCAUGCGCGCAGUCUAACACGUUAGCUUGAAGCAUACGGUAGCAUGCCAAGACAUACAGAUAAGAUAAAAACACGUUUUUAAAAAGGCAACGAAAGCAGAACUGAGUUCGGGUGUAUUUUAUUUAGCCAUCGUACAAUGUUCUCACGUUUUUCGAUCAAUCAUCACCCAGAAAUCCAUCAAAGUCCUCAUCCUCUGUAUCAGAAGCAGAGGACUGCACAUCUCAGUUGUCAUUGAAUGCAUCACAUGCUAGUGUGAGUUGCUACGCAUUGCCGAGCGGAAAGAAGGAGUAGCAACAGCAAAGUCAACAUUUCUCUCGUGUGAAGCUUUCCCACAUUUGAAAGUAAAGAACAGAGCGAAACAUGGUGGCAGCGCGUGUGUGUGUAGAAAGAAUUGAACAAUUGUGCAAGUACCGUAAUCCAUCAAAAACGCCGCGUUCCCUCUCGUUGUUGCGUAUUGUGGCGUAACUCGCCAAGCGCUGCCUCUCACUCUCUGUAAAGUUGUGUUUGCCACAGAUCAUCCAUUGUUCCCAUGCCGUUUGCAACUUUACUUUGAACGCCCGGUUGAUGCCGAUGUCCAGCGGUUGGAGUUCUUUAGUCAAGCCUCCGGGAAUAACGGCAAGCUCAGAGUUCAUUUGCUUGACUUGUUUUUUUUCACCGCUGCUGUGAGAUGGGCACGCAUGCCAAAAGCAUAACCGGUGGCUUUAAGUUUGAACUGAGCUUCGUAGGCGUGUCUUUUUGUCGAAUUUAUUUUCAGGGGUUCUUAGAAACCAAAACCGGAGUUGUUUUGCAACAAUGCACAUUGCCACACUGUAUACAAGUGUUGGUACUGGCUUGAGGCGUCCACUUACACGCCCACCCUUCACCAUUGGCGGACUAACUUGCCUGUCCUCUCUCUCCCUCUCCAUAUAUGUAUAUAUAAACGCCCACCCAUCCCUGAUUGGCCGACUUCUUUCCCGCAUGCCUGGCCACAGUCACUUCCGCCUUUUCUCUAUAUAAACAGCGUGUCGGCUGUCAGUCAGAUUUUGGAACUCAGCGCAUAUAAAGGACGCUCCGCACCAUAAGGCGUCCUGUCCAUUUUGGAGAAAAUUUAAGACUUUUAAUGGCGCCUUAUAGUCGUGAAAAUACGGUACUGCCAAAACCACACGGGGAGGUGAGGGUGGCGGCGAAAUGGAGGCACCUCGGCGGAGGGACUUGUUACCUCGGCCUCAUCGUUUCUGUCUCAGCUCAUUAAGCCGUGCUUGCGGUUGGCGCAACAAACCUCCUCGCUCCUUCACAAUUAACAAUGGGACUUAAAGGGUUACCUCAAACACAUUAGACGGCCGCUAAUUAUCAGACGCAACCACGAGGUGAGAGUGGGGGCAGCGAUCUCACCUCCAAAGAUACACACACCCUAUAGUUUUUGUGUCAAUAGGAGUUCAGCGAUGCACCGUGCAAUUAAAUCGAUUUGAAAAGUAGCUCUCAAAGGUGGCAAAGAAGAAGAAUGCCAUCCUAUCGCCCCCUCCCCUUUGUAUUAUAUUAUCCAUGCAGUCCGCAUCCUCUCUAAAUAGUUUUGCAUGACCUUUGCUACAGUAGCUCUAAUUAUUUGCAGCAGAUAGGCCCUGUAAUGCACACGGCUAAUUAGACUGGAUUUAUCUGAUGGGACAUUGGCGCCGUUCUUCAUAGGCAUGACUGGCCUGCCUUCAGAGCAGGUGAUUUAAAGCCGCCGCUAAGGUUAAUUUGGGUAACACAGUAAUAGUAAUUAGAAUCAUAUUCAUGACAAACAUAGUUUUGAUAGCAGCACUGAGCAGAUCAGUCACAGGGUUCAUUGUUAACAAGCCAUCCUUAUCACCUCUCUUGUUUUUAAGCCUCUUUUCACUCACUCCUUUGACUGAUGUUUGACUGUGCAUGUUGAAAGCUAUAUCUCCCCUUUCAAAAAAAAGGCAUCACCCUUUAAUAUAGGACCUCUUGUCAUUGCAUCUUAUGAAGAGUUGUUACUGGAGAAAGCAGUAUUUAUCAAAGCUUCGACAUGAAUGGAGAGGGGCAGCUGGAGCUAUCUUUUGGCUGGCGGGCAACUUGUGUAAUGAGCCUAAGAGGUUUCCAAUUAUUCCACUUGUGAUCAGAAAGGAGAUGGAGAUUACUUCUCUUGCAGACCCCCCCCCCCCCCCCUCUCCCUUCUCGCUCUCUCUCCCUGACAUUUGGCACGGUAACAUCUUUUGAUAGGGGCUGGGGGGAGGGAAGGGAAAAAAAGAUGAUUUCUAGAGAGCAUCAGAUAGUCUUGAACAGGCAGUUCUGUCCUCUGCAUUAAGACAAAAUAAGAUGUUGUGACUCACAUUUUCAUUUCUGCAUUCUCCUGUAGGAAUGGGCCAUUAACGCCUCACCCCAAAAAGGCAUGCGGUGUUCAAUUUUAAGAUCAAUUCCCAGUGGUGUGUGAUUACUGAUUUAUGGUACGAUAAUUGCCUUGUUUAAAAGGACACCUGGUGAAACAGAAAGUUUCUCAAGUUGGAGCUUAGUGCUAAACCUCUUUGGGGUCAAGUCAACUCGCCAAUUUAGGAACUCAGGAAGCGUGUUACAUUUUUAUGAAGAGCAAAUAAGAAAUAUGCACAAACACCAAAAACUUGUUUAACUUUGUCACUGAAUUCUUUAGUGUUUUUUCAAGUGAAUUAGCAAGAGAACCCGAUAUAUACAGUACUAGCUGGUUCCUGCGGAAGGCUGGUAAGGUGGUGGUUCGUCGCCCUCCGGGCGGCUCAUCAGCUAGUUCCGGCGGAAGGCUGGUAAGGUGGGCCUUCGGCCCACAAAAGUGUUGUUGGUUGGUUGAACUUUUUGUUCAUCUUCAUUGCUUAUCGCGAAAAUAAAGAGAUGUUUAGCUCUACUAAAUAACUAACAAUUUCAUUGCAAUGCUUGUGGGUAGACAAUAUUUUUUCGCUAAGAUGCCCGCGCGAUCGUAGUGAGCCACUGCCUGAGCGGCGCAGUGGCGGCGCGCAGCGGCGCGGUGAAGUCGGUACGUUUUGAAAAGGGACAGACGGAAGGACAGACCGCGUGCGGGACGACGCGCAAUAUAUAUAUAGAUAUUUGCACAUAAUAACAACAUGCAAUGACAGUGCAGUUAAAGCUCAGAGCUAAGAACUGUUUUUUACUAAAUAAUCUACACUCGCUGUUACUUUUUGUGAAGUGUGAGCAUAAAAAAAUGCUUACUGUGGAUAUACCAAUGUGCUAAUUUUGCAAGCCAGGGGGGGGGGGGCCUUGCUCAGUUUACACUGAGCCUAAUUUAUACUGUGUGAUGAAAGUGUGCAUUUCACACAAACUGGCUUUUUAAACAGAAGAACAAAAUAACCAAACGGAACAUCAGGAGAGUUAAAGCUAAACCCCCGUACGUAAUUCAAGUAAAUCAUGCUCCUUCUUACUUUUGAGAAAUACAGGAUGAGCAAAACAUUUUUUUCCAAAAAAGAUUAAGAAGUUGAUGUCGACAUGUCGAUGGAUUAAUUUUGUCAUCUAGGGUAACUUUGACCAACUUUAAACAAAUAUGGUUUGGCAUGAUUUACAAGUAAACGUGAAACCCCCCACCAACCCUCCCCCCAAAAAACUAUAGAGUUGUAAUCAUUGUCAUUUAUUCAUGUGCACAACCUGUUACUUUUGCAAAAGUAAAAAAAAAAAAAAAUAAAAAAAAAAAAAUAAAAGACUCUGAAGUUUCACAGUUUCAUCCAGAUAUAUUCAGAUGCUAACUUUUCUCAAAUAUGAAAGCGCACUCCAUUCCUUUUCCAUAUUAAGGUUUUGCCAUAUUUUAGUCCGAAAUGGCCCCAAACAAAAAUAUAUUAAUUUCUUUUUACAUUUUGUUUCUCUAGUAGCCCGCUUG